AAACCAUGAUUUGAGCAUUUGUGAGGUAAUCCUUUAUAACAAUCCCAUCGUUCAUACAUUGAUUCCUCAUCAGCUGGACGAAAAGAAGUGAUGUCGUUCCUCAGUUU